rnacentral:lncRNA from 1 species
GCCCUUUCCUCGAUCUUGAUAUCUAUAUCACUAACAGAAAGCUGGAUACUAAAAUUUGUGAUAAAAGAGAUGAUUUUUCAUUUCCUAUCGUUAAUUAUCCAUUUUUAAAUGGUGACGUUCCCUUGUCACCAUCUUACGGUGUUUAUAUAUCUCAACUUGUACGAUUCGCUCUUGUAUGUAACAAUGUUUUAGAUUUUAACG